CUGGCUCAGGAUGAACGCUAGCUACAGGCUUAACACAUGCAAGUCGAGGGGCAGCAUGAGCUUAGCUUGCUAAGCUGAUGGCGACCGGCGCACGGGUGAGUAACGCGUAUCCAACCUUCCCCUUAGUAGGGCAUAGCCCGGUGAAAAUCGGAUUAAUACCCUAUGUUCUUCACAGCGGGCAUCUAACGUGAAGCAAAGGUUCACCGCUAAGGGAUGGGGAUGCGUCUGAUUAGGUAGUCGGCGGGGUAACGGCCCACCGAGCCAUCGAUCAGUAGGGGUUCUGAGAGGAAGGUCCCCCACAUUGGAACUGAGACACGGUCCAAACUCCUACGGGAGGCAGCAGUGAGGAAUAUUGGUCAAUGGGCGUGAGCCUGAACCAGCCAAGUAGCGUGCAGGAUGACGGCCCUAUGGGUUGUAAACUGCUUUUAUGCGGGGAUAAAGUCACCCACGUGUGGGUGUUUGCAGGUACCGCAUGAAUAAGGACCGGCUAAUUCCGUGCCAGCCGCGGC
rnacentral:rRNA from 1 species